AGUACCUCAAAGAUAAUAGGUGCAUAAAAUUCAGUCACAAACACAUAUAAUCCUCACAUUACAUAAAACUCAGUCCUGGAACAUAGCCAGACUAGUAUUAAACAGCUAAACACAGGUAAAGCAACUUCCACAGCCACAACCGCAAAACAAAUCAGGAAUCACUCGGACAAUGCCAUCAUCCCUCAGAGUUCCGCUGCCUGGAUGUAAGAUGAUGCUUCCCCUCCCUCCAAGGCACCUACUUGGAUCGCUGCCUCAUCUUUCGGCGCUUCCUCUUGAGCCUCCUCAUCCUCUUCUUCUUCCACUGCACAUUAUCACAAAAAUGCAGAUCAUCAGUACAAAUUGCAUAGUGCUAGAUGCGCAGGAACAUGAGAUAAUUCCACAUGAAAAGAGAAAGUAGUAUGUGAUUUAGAAUCAGAAGAUUGAGUGUUUCACUGGAUAUCAUCACAUGAUUCUCAGAAACACGGACCAAUUGUUCUUCAUCAUGUUCCAAAACUGCCAAUUUGGCAUGGCGAAAAGAGAACUACUAAAGAAGGUCAUACCUAUCUACAAACUAGAUCUGCAGUCGGGUUGACAUUCAGAAUGAGUAGGAGGAUUUUAUCAUCAAAUAGAUCAGACGCCAUUUGUCUUCCUCAUCAUGGCAACCGACGCAACUGAUCUAAAGAAAGAACAAAUCUAGGAAAAACACUGGCAAAGAAAACACAGUUCUCUCAGACAAAUGCCUCGAUUGUCCACAUGGUGUAAUAGAAUGGAUUACAUCAGACUCGUCAUCUGUUUUCAUCAUCACAGAGAACUAUGCACAAAUGAAAACAGCAAAAAAAACGCAUAAAUCUGGCUAACAUAACUAGAAGCAGUAAUUAUAUAUCAUAGAGCAAGCAAAUCUGGUCGAAAUAGCAACGGUUCUCUCAGACAAAUGCCUCAUAUUGUCCCCACGGUUGAAUGGAAUGGAUUGAAUCGGACAUCUAAUCAGUGUUGAUCAUCACAGAGAACCACUACCUACGCAAGCGAGCGGCAGCAACAGCAAGAACGAACGCUCGGUAAGCACUAGCACAUGUCUAGAUCUACCACGGUCGGGACGCAGAUAACAGCAGGCGAGGUAGAAGACGGGCGGCAGUACGAACCUUGGCCCUCAUCGCGGCGGCGGUGUCGGCCUCGCUCUCCGGUUCGCGGGGAUGGCGGCGGCGGGAGUGUGUGGACGAACACCCUAGCGGCGGGGGCUCUCGUUAGAUUGUUGGCGGCGGGGGCUCUCGCCUCGUACUUAUACGGGCUGGGUGCUGAAGAGGGGGGAAACCCUAGCGGGGUUGGACGGGUGGACGGCUGGGAUCAGCCAAUGAACGGCGUUCUUAUCCGAUUAGUUGCUCUGGUAUGGGCCUGUUGGGCCUCCAAACAACGCCUAGGCCCACGCUAACAUUUGACUGGACUUGAUUUCCUAAAGGGAGGAAAAAGAAACUUGACCAGUCUUUACUUUAUUCUCUUGUUUUUUUAUUUUACUACUAGAACAAUGCCCGUGCGUUGCAACGGGAUAUAAAUAUUCUAGCACGUUAGCUUGUGAUUUACCUGUCAAUAAUAAUGUGAUUGUGUAAAUAAAUGUUCAUAAAAUUCUGACCAUGAAUUACCUUAUAUUUUGAUUAGAAGAUUGGUAAAUAAAUUAAAGUGGAGUUGAUUCAGAAGGUAAGUAAAUUAAGGUGAUUGAUUAUCAUAUACAUGGAAGACUGGACGAAGGGUUGGUGGAAAGAAAUAUGAAAUGUGAACCUUACGUUCUUUUUAAGUACUAGUAGAGAUUUAAAAAAAAAGAAUAGCAUUCCUUUUCCUGCCAGGCGGAGUGAUUCGUCCAACAUUCCCUUUUUCUAAUGAUCAUUCCUUGAAAACCGUCUUAAUCGUCUCAUCUUUUAUUGACUUGUCAAAUAAAUUUUAUUUUCUUUGGUAAGUCAAUAAGUGAUUACAAAAUAAAAUCACGGGCAAGAUUUGUUAAAUAUUUAUUUACACAAUCACAUAAUAUGAAGAUGUAAAUUAUGAGAUAAUGUAUUGUAAUAUAAUAUUUAUGCCCCGUAGCGACGCACGGGGAAAUAUCUAAUUUUACUAGAAAAAAGACUAAUACAUUGUGAUGGCGCUGGUGCGCAACUGUUGGUGCAGCACGAUUCAGGAUUAAUUAUACUAUUUUUAACACAAUAUAGACGCAAGCGCUCAUAUAUAUACGCGCAUAUACUCACCCCUAUGAAUGCACACACGUAUACCUUUUUUUUUGCGACAACAUAGAGCACCUCCGAAAGAUUGAGUCGGCAUACUAUCUACAUUUUACAAAGUCACCAUUGGCGCCUAUCCAGGAUAUAUAUGCGAGCAGCAAGACUUGAACCCUGCUGGGUUAGGGAUAUCACUGUCCUCCUAACCAUCCAACCACAUGUUGGUUCGCCACGACUAAUCAUACUGGUGUAGCCAAGUCUUAUUUAAAAACUAGGGAGGAAACUUUGUCCUAGUUGAACAACACGUUGCUGCGGUCUGAUGUAGUUGCUACUCGUUUGUUUCUAAAGUACCUUGUAAUCAAACUACUUGUGAUGAGAACAAAUCGAUAAAGUAUCUUGUAAUCAAACUACUGAGAUAAUUUGUACCUUCUCUCCAUACCCAUGUAUCAUCAAGUAGCCUCUUAAUGUAGUUUCCCUUUUCCCGCUUUGAAGCAAGUCUACGAAAAAAUGAUGUAUUCCGAUCUCCAUGAAGCAACCAAUUAGCUCGUCCUCUCUAUAACCAAAUCAAUUCUUCUUGGUACAGAAGAUUUUCAAUAUCUAGCCUACAAAAAAGAAGAUUCUCAAUAUUUGAAAAUCUUUUUUAUCCCUAAUCUCCCUGUCGAAUCACUUUGUCUCCAUUUUAAGGUCUUUUUUUAGCUUCGAUAUCCUCUUAUUUGGGCCUUUCAGAACCUCCCGAUCCCUCUGGUGUAGAUCUUUAUGAACAGCCUUGGUACGAUCAGACAAGGAUGGCCCCACACUAGCUAGCUUGCUCUCUCCCAAGCCAAUUGGACUACCGCAUUAACGGUUUCUUCACACAGCCAACGGGCUUCAAACUGUUUUCGGGCCUUCGGUUGUUGAGAAAAACAGAUUUAGAAUAAUUCUUAUGAAGGAGAAUAGGUCAAUGGUUUGAAUGGACAUGGUGCUCAUGAACCAAUGCAUAUGGCAAUUUAUCUGCACACGCCUCAUUACUUAGUGAUACCUUGGCUCCAGGUGAACUGGUCACCAAUAACAGUGGUCUAUUGAAGUCCACACAACCUCUGAAAUUAUGCAUCAACUGUUGAGGUCGAACAUUACCACCCUCCUUCUCACUUGCCACCAAUCUCUGAUUAAAAUCACAAAAACUAACCAUGGACCAGCCACAUUACAUUCCACAAGUAUGUCCAGGACAGGUGCUUCCGAUCCCAAGUUGGUUGUCCAUAAAAUCCUCAAGCGCCAUGAAGCAUUAUUUCCACCCAUAACAAUUCCAUCAAUAAAGUGUUUAGAAGAAUAAUUCAACAUCACUUCAUUAGACUGGUUAUAGAACAGGACAAGGUUCCCCGAGCAACCAUCACUCUCAACAAUAUGAGUAAAAUCAACCCUAGUUUAACUCUCAAAUCAAUUGCACUCGCUUUGUUCAUAUGUGAUUUAUAUAAGAAAAUCACAUAUGCUCUCACACUCCCUUGGAGGUCCAAGAGCUCUCAAACUGUCGUGGAUGAAAGCAUCCCACGACAGUUCCAAUCUAAGGUUUUCAUUGUGCCUGGCUGUCCUUCUCACCUGAGGCCACCAAUCCAUCAUUAGCAUUGCAGUCAAUUUCCGUCCAUCACUUCCCUUUAGUUUAAUUUUGUUUGCAUUUUUCCGAGGCCCACAAACCUUUUGUCUAGUACGUUUGAACCAAAAAAGAGUUAAAAUACAUGGUUUAGUCCACACUACGAGAAAGUGGCCGAACCAAAAUAAGCCACCUGAUUUUGAAAAUUCGACAAGUGCUUUAAGGUGACUUUGGUGUCCUUCCAACACCAUCCUUCGCGUCGUAUUGUCCAUGAAUCUUGCUUCCAUGAUGUACAUAUCCUCUUCUCCAAUCUCCACAACCUUCAGUCCUGUGGAUUUAAUUGUUGUGUACGAGCUUGCGUCAUUGAUCCUUGUGGGAUUACGGUCGUAGGUGUAGCAGGGGCUGUAAUGGUAGAAGAGGUGUCCCCAUCACUUAGUUUGGGGCAGGUGUUGGUGCUUUUUUAACACAGUACACAUGCAUGCGCUUAUAUAUAUACGCAUACACUCAUCCCUAUAAACAUAUACACGCAUACCUUACUCCUAUGAGCAUCUCGGAGAGACUAAGCCGGCAUAUCAUCUUGAGAUUGACGAAGUUACCAAAGGCGCCUCGUAGUUGACUGAAACGUCUCUUCCUACUGAAUGUGCAUCACCAAAAAUCCUGAAAUAAAUUCAAGAAUAAAUGCGAGCACCAGGACUUCAACCCUGCGGGCCUGGGGAUACCAUUGUUCACCUAACAAUCCAACCACAGGUAAUUGGUGUUACUAUGUACAGAUUUGGGGUCAUGAUGUCCGGAUAGCAGAUUGUGGAGCCUGUAUUUUUUGUUUCUAUAAUAGCCNNNNNNNNNNNNNNNNNNNNNNNNNNNNNNNNNNNNNNNNNNNNNNNNNNNNNNNNNNNNNNNNNNNNNNNNNNNNNNNNNNNNNNNNNNNNNNNNNNNNNNNNNNNNNNNNNNNNNNNNNNNNNNNNNNNNNNNNNNNNNNNNNNNNNNNNNNNNNNNNNNNNNNNNNNNNNNNNNNNNNNNNNNNNNNNNNNNNNNNNNNNNNNNNNNNNNNNNNNNNNNNNNNNNNNNNNNNNNNNNNNNNNNNNNNNNNNNNNNNNNNNNNNNNNNNNNNNNNNNNNNNNNNNNNNNNNNNNNNNNNNNNNNNNNNNNNNNNNNNNNNNNNNNNAUGAAUUGGUCACAGGUCAAUGGUUUUAACUUUCUACCUCAUGUUCAAAUAGGGGAAAUUCUUCACCCGGCCUAUCCAGCAUGUGGCAUCCGCCGCCUCUAGCGUGCGGACGCAUGUCAUGUGUGGACCCUCCACACCGCUCUGUCUUUUUUCUUAUUCCCACACAUGGUCGACCUUUGUUGAGAAAAAAAACUACAACAAGACCUCUGUUGCAAAAGUUUAUGCUCACGACCUCUAUUUUUGCAAAAAAAGAGCUUCUACAACAUGACCUAUGUUGCAAUGAUAGACAAUAGAAAAAAAGAAAAAUGAAGAGGCCAAGCACAACAAGGCUCAUGUUGCAUAGAUAGGAGGAAGAAAAACAUGGGUUGAGGCUUUUUGCAAUUAGUCCGUAGUUCGAGGCCUUUUGCAACAGGUCCUCUGUUCUAGAGAGACGGGUGCAACUACAUGCUUGUUGCAACUUCCUUUGCUCACGUGAAGAAGAUGUAGUGACUUUCUUUGUCUUAGUCCGACGGCUAUGGAUGUGGACAAUCUUUUCCAUUGCUUAAACCGGCCAACGCCUAGCAUGGCCCAUAAAAUAAUUCCCGGUGCCUUUCAAGCCUAUGCAACUCGUAUGGAACACACUUUCUACUCUUUUGACGUAUGGAUUGUCUCAUUGUUUCUAGAGGAAAUGAAUUUGGAAUUGAGAGGCAUGGAAGAGAUUGAUAUUUCUCAGUUGAGAAUUGAUGACAUGAAGGUACCCUGCUGCCCACCGCAUUGCAUGGUUUUGUGUGGGCCCAUAAUAUUUCAGCACCUAUAAAUGAGCUUAGUUUGGGCAUCAUGACAUUUAUGUGGGGCAAAACAACUUAUUUGUCGCGUCAUAGGCUCUCACCGGUUCCACGCCUCCCAACUAUAACCAUUCACAAAGAAUUAAGCAUACAACCAACCUAUUAUAUCAAGUUGUGCUGAGAGCAGAGCAUCUCCAAUAACUGCCCUAUAAUAGGGCACCAAAAUUUGCUUGAGGUGGGAUACAAAAAGGUGUAUUUUAGGGCACGAGAAAAUGAGUGUUUCCAAAAGUUACCCUAAAAUGGGGCACUAAAUAGGACACCAUUGCUCCAACAGCGGCCAUAAAAAUAGGGCAGCCGCACCACAUCUUUCUUCUCCACAUAUGGAUAGAAUUUAAACUUUGCAAGAUUUCCUUGAGUGUUUUCUCCACCAACAGCUGAUCACAAAAUUCAACUACUAAAUUUGAGUGUCUUCUCCACCAACGGCUGCUCACAAAAUUCCACUACUAAAUCCAAAUUUAAAGGGAUGACCGAUAAAAUCAAAGUAGAUACUAAAUUUGAAUGUCUUCUUUUAAUUUCUUUGUAUUGCACACAACUACACACCAAACUGACCUGGGAUACAAUCUCAGCGAAUAACAAACGAAAUUGACAAGUUCCUUUGUAACUUUCUUCAGAAAAAGGAACACUGAAAGUCUGAAGUUUCUGAAAACUAACACUGCAUCUUGGCCUCGUACACUUUCUUCACAAAAAGGAACGCUGAAAAACCGAACUUUACUGAUGAAUUCAAUCGGGGAAAGCAGCGGCGCAUUCCAGCAGCACCUCCACGACCCGUACAAACUCCAGCAACACAUUCUGCAGCACCACCACACAAACCACUAACUAGCCACCAGGCUUCCAUUUAGCUUUGUACUCCCUCUGUAAACUAAUACAAAAUCAUUUAGAUCACUAGAGGGAAUAUAUGCCAAAGGAGUUUGGAAGAGGGCUAACUUGUUUUUAUUUGGAAACGCAAAGGUGAAUCUAACUUCCUUUUUUUUUUGGCAAAACAAAAUAACUACACUAUCGUGCUGCAAUCAGCAACAAAAUUGGUCCUACACAGACAAUUCAGCUCAAUUCACUCCAUUAAAGAAUUUCAAGUCAUAGUACUGAGAAAUUUCCACUUUAAAGGAACCGAAACAUCCCCACCAUGCAACCCGGUAGAAAUGCAUUUCUACUACUCCCUCUGUUCCUAAAUAUAAGUCUUUUUAGAGAUUUCAAUGCAGACUAUAUACGGAGUAAAAUGAGUGAAUCUACAUUCUAAAAUAUGUCCAUAUACAUUUGUAUGUAGUUCGUAUUGGAAUCUCUAAAAGGACUUAUAUUUAGGAACGGAGGGAGUAUAUGAAACGAUCCUACAUGCUCAGCCCACAACAACGGGAAGCGCCGAUCCGCACUAGCCCGGGGUCACCACAAUUGCAUUCGAGAACUUAGCCUCUGGCCUCGACGACGAUAUUGGAGAAGGCGUCGGAGCGUAAGCCCUUUGUCUGGAUGUCCUGGCAAAGCUCCGCCACCACAUGGAGCUCGCUCAGCUUGGCCAUGGUGUGGCCGGAGCCGAAUCUUGCAGGGACAAAGACCAAAUCGGACUCAGGUAAGAGGGGACGGGAUGAGGGGCGUCAGAGUUGGGGAGGCAUCAGCCGGCGGUGAUGCUCGCAGGAGCAGAGGCAGGAAGGGCGCGUGGGAAACACCCAACCGACGGUUUUGCCACAGCAGCCCAAGUGUAGAGUUGGGGGAGGCAUCAGCCGGCGAUGAUGCUCGCAGGUACAGAGGCUGGAAGGGCGCAUGGGAAAUGCCCAUAGCAGCCCAAGUCUCAAAUCUGCAGUACUGUUUUAUAUUUUUGGGCAGCCCUGAAAAAUUUGGAGCAAAUUUUACAUUAAGGGCAGCUAUUGGAGCAUCCUUUUUUGCCUAAUGCUCCAAGUUGAUGGUGAGUAUAGGUGUUUACACAAAUCAUCGUUUCAAUACGGAUGCAAGUCUUACAACAAUAGUUUCAAGCACAAUUGAAAAAUCUGUCAGGCAGAUUAACUGUCCUACACAAUCAGAAGCAAUUUGCUUGGCUUUAUCAUUUCUAAUACAUGCAUUGUAAUAUUUCAACCAUUCAGAAGGCAUAACAGAUAUUAAUCAUCUAAAAUUUUAGAAACAUAUAGCAUCAUCGCAUCACAAAAAAGAUGAGACGCCGCAAAAUUAAUAGGUGCAUAAAAUUCAGUCACAAACACAUAUAAUCCCCACAUUACAUAAAACUCUGUCUUGGAACAUAACCAGACUAGAAUUAAACAGCUAAAUUGGACAUAACACAGGUUAAACAGCUUCCACAGCCAUAGCAGCAAACACGCCAGGAAUCACUAGACCAUGCCGUCAUCCCUCGGUGCCUGGCAGCCUGGAUGUAGGAUGAUGCUUCCGCUGCUCCAAGGCGCCUACUUGGAUCGCUGCCUCAUCUUUCGGCGCUUCCUCUUGAGCCUCCUCAUCCUCUUCUUCUUCCACUGCAAAUUACAGUAACCAUGCCGAUCAUGAGCAUAAAUUGCAUAGGUGCUCUAUAGGAGAUGCAAAAGGAACACAGAAAGUACAACUUGUUCUGGAAUCAGAAGAUUGAGUGUUUCAUUGGAUAUCAUCACGUGAUUUUCAGAAACACGGACCAAUUGCUCUUCAUCAUUUCCCAAACUGAAGUCAAUUUCAAAGGCAAACAGGAAAAAAACGAUGAUAAGAUAUCUAAAGAACUAGCUAAGCAAAGUAUAGAUCUGCAGUGGGUUUGACAUUCAGAAUGAGUAGGAGGAUUUUAUCAUCAAAUAGAUCAGACGCCAAUUGUCUUCCUCAUCACGCCAACCGACGCAGUUGAACGAAAGAAAGAACAAAUCUAGGAAAAACACUGGCAAAGAAAACACUGUUCUCUCAGACAAAUGCCUCGAUUGUCCACAUGGUUUUAUAGAAUGGAUUACAUCGGACUCGUCAUCUGUUUUCAUCAUCACAGAGAACCACAAACAAACACGCGCAAAAAAUAUCAAUUCAGUCAACAGAAACUACAUCCUAGUAUCUCUCAGAAUAAGCAAAUCGAACUAGAAUAGCAGGUUCUCUCGGACAAAUUUGCCUCAUUUUUGUCCCCACGGUUGAAUGGAAUGGAUUGGAUCGGACAUCUAAUCAGUGUUAAUCAUCACCGAGAACCACUAAUUACGCGAGCGAGCGGCAGAAACAGCAGGAACGAACGCUCGAUAAACACUAGCACAUGCCCAGAUCUACCGCAGUCGCGAAGCAGCUAACAUCAGGGGAGGUGGACGAGAGGCAGUACGAACCUUGGCCCUCAUCGCGGCGGCGGAGUCGGCCUCGCUCUCCUUUUCGCGUCGUCGGCGGCGGCGGCGGAAGUGUGUGGACGAACCCGAUCUCCGUAGAUUGUUGGCGGCGGGGGCUCUCACCUCCUACUUUAUAGGGGGGUAGGGUGCUGGGAAGGGGAAACCCUAGCGGGUGGACGGCUCGGAUCAGCCACGGGACGGCGUUCUGAUCCGAUUCGGUUGGGCUCUGGUUCGUAGGCAUAAUUGGGCCUCCAAACCAACGCCUCGGCCCACGCUCACGUACAAAGAUGAUGAGUCUU
rnacentral:lncRNA from 1 species